GCACUUGUGAAGAGGUUGCAUUUUGACAAUCUUGGGAGGGUAGGGACUUGUAUAAAUAGCAAUAGUUCCUCAAGGAUCUUAAGAAUUUCAUUCGGAUCUCGCAGCAUAAGUUGUGCAUUAAUCUUUGUUGUCAACAAGUAUCUACUUAGCUUCUUUUGACCGUAUCAGGUGAUGGAUGAGCUGGAUUUAGCAUGUCCUUAGCAUUAUGGAAAUCUGCAUCUUCAAAGCGGAUGGUUCAGGCAAAACUCUUAGAUUUAUAUAGUAAGGAAACUGGUUGGGACACUAAAUUUGCUGUAAAUUGUAAUGUUGUUACCUUCUCUUUCUCUUUCUCUCUCUCUCCUCUCUCUCAAAUAGAUUAUGGUAAAGUUUGAUAGUUUGCAAAUCUUAAAGCGCUCAGUCUAAAGGUUUGCUGUUGGCAAGAUUGACAUGCCUUGUAGUAGGCUUUAAGUACACUUGAACUACUCUUGGUCGCCUAUUUACCAGGGUAUGUUGCUAUAUAGUAAUUUUCAUCUUCUCAAGCUUAAACUUUGUAUAUAUAACUUGGGAAGUUUUAACUAAUGAAAAGUGCUGAUGAAUCAGUACAACUCAUGGACAUGGUCACCUCAGUCCACAGGCCAACAAAACUGAUCAAAUAAACAAACUAGGUUUAUUUACAAAGUCUAUUCAAGUCUAGAGUACAACAAACAAUAACACUAAUUCUUUUGACUCUUUACACAUCUAUCUGCUUGGUUAAAAAUAGUUACAAUUGAAGCUAAUGUAUAAAAUGGUAUGCAGAGCUAUUGCGUAGAAGUACCACGUCCAGCCUUAGACGCAAUGAAAGACUCUUCAGACACACAACGAUAACAUGAAUCAAGGAAGAGAUGGAGAGAAUAAAAAAAUAGUAAUUUUAGUACUUUAACAGUUCAGACUUACAGUAUAUAAAAAAAUUCAGAAAUAUAAUCUUGAUUAUACAAGCCUUUUCUUUUUUUUAGAAUCCUUUUACCAAAAUUUUAUUGGAAAUGACACUGUCCUCUUUUAAGGUUCACUGUGAUGAUCAAUAGAAGUGUCAAUUUUUACAACUUUCUAAAAAAGCCUCAAGUAAUAGACUUUAACACAUGAUUAUAAAGUAUUUGAGAUGACCAUAACUCUUCGUUUGUAAAUAGUCUUCAGUGAUUUUGAUUUCACAAUGUUUGGUGAGAAAUUAAAACGACUUGAGAUGCAAUUGAUUCAAAGCAUAGUUCUAAAUUAAAAAUUCUCACGGAAUAAAAAAGAUAACAAAAUAAAGAAGACAAUGUUGCAAAGAAGAGGAUCUUAAAAACUCUCUUUAGCACUUUCACAUGUCGGAGAAGUUCUAUAAGCUUUCUUAAGAGACGUGGAUGUAACUUGUUACUUAUCUUUAGCUUUUGUUUAUGUUAUUUUGUAUUUGAGUUUGUUUUUUUAAAGUUGUUUAAGGCUAAUCUUUUAUCCUUUUUUUUGUUUUGUUUUGUUUUGAACUAUUUUUAUUAAUAAAAUUUAGCCUCUUUGGCCAUUUUGUUUAAAAGAAGAAGAAGAGAAGAAGUUUUUAAUCAACGAAGAAAAUCAUGACACACAUAAAGUAUAAUAGAUCACUUUCUAAAAUAAAAAUUUUGAUAAAGAAGAGGAGAUUUAAUUAACUAUGGGACAUCAAAGUGAAUAAAAUAUUGAUAUUAAUCAAAGUUUAUUAUUUACAAUAGUGCAAAAAAUAUUAUUGACUUUAUAUAAAUUUGAUUUUAAAAAAUUAUCUAUUUGCAUGUGAAAAUACUGUGAUAGUAUGUUACUCUACAAGACAAUCAAGUUCUGCUAUCAUGUCGAUGAAAGUGUCCGUUUUAUUUAAUUGUUAUUAUGAACAAGUCAUACAAAAACCUUGACUGAGACAACGAGAUGACGAACAAAAUGACAAACAAGACUGUAUUUGACUGAGCUUAAAAUUCGACAUAUCCAAAAGAUAUUUGUUAUACUUACAAAAAUAAUACCAUUAAUAACAAUAUUUGAAAAACUAGUACAUAAAAUUGGACAACAUCAUCUACAAAAAUUAAUCGAUAUUUUAAUUAGACUGGUGUGUGUUGUAGUACAUGUACUAUUUUUUCCUUAGUCAAGCUUUUCUUUCGUUAGAUUUUUUUGGCAAGAUUUUUAAUGAAGCAAUUAAUAAUGCAUAUUACUAGAUAUAUGACUUGUUUUUUUUAUUGAAAUAUUUUUCACAAGCUUUUUUCUAAUAAGAUUUUAACACGGUACAUUAUCUAUCUAAAUAUAAACAUCCAAAAUAAAAUAUUAUGAAAUAAUAAAUUUGAAUAUUAAUUUAUGCUCCGGAGCGUUUAUGGUACGCCCGCCUCGAAACUCGCCCCGAAAAUGUUUUUGAAAAUACUGAUUAGUAAUAUAAUAUUUUGCGAGUUUGGAUUUAAUCGAGCUCAAAUUGGAGUAUGAAAAAACAAAAAAGGGCAAAGGGUCAAAUAUACCCUUGUACUAUAUGAAAUAGUUUAAAUAUACCCUUAGUUAUACUUUUGGGCUAAAUAUACCCUUUUCGUUAUACUUUCAGACUAAGUAUACCCUUAUCACUAACAGAGGACACGUGGACGGCUAAAAUUAAAAGAAUUAUUUAAUUUAAAAUAAAUCAAAUUCGAAUAUAACCCGCCCCGAAUAAUUUAACUCAACCUAAUCAAUUCGGCUACCAUUCUUGGCAACUCUGUCAAGCUUCUUUGCAUCAUCAUGAAAUAUAAAGUCAAUUGUGUCAUUGUAAUCCAGAAACUCUUCCAUUGUUUACCAAUGCUCACCUGAGUUGUUCCAUUGGCAGCAUUCUUGAUCCAUAGAGCUAUUUUUUCUUGUCUAACUUGAACAUUAAUAAUCACUCCACAAAUUUCAUCUCCAAAUUUCUCUCCAGUCAGUGCCAACAUCAUGUACAGCCAGCUGGUGGGUCCAUGUUAUAGAAAAGCUCAUCGUUCACUUCCCUCCAUUGACACAUACAGGUGGAUCAAUGUUAUAAAUUAGGUCGGGUUAAAUUAUUUGGGCGGGGCAGGUUAUAUCCAAAUUUAAUAUAUUUUAAAUUGAAUAGUUUUUUUAAUCUUAACCGUUCAUGUGUUUUCUGUUAGUCAUAAUGAUAUAUUUAGCCCAAAAAUAUAACAAGAGAAAUAUAUUUAGCCCAAAAAUAUAACAGGAGAAAUAUAUUUAGCCCAAAAGUAUAACUAAGAAUAUAUUUAAACUAUUUCAUAUAGUACAGUACAGGGUAUAUUUGACCCUUUACCCGAAAAAAAAAAGUUAGGAACUUUCCAUGGCCUAAAGCAAGAAGUUUCUAAUAUCUUGAAUCCCUUUGUUUCCAUUGUCUCUUUCUUUGACUCUACACAUUCUUUCAUCUGCCCCAUUCCUGAAGGCUAUUGAGUCUUUGGGGCUCUCCAAGAUUUGAUAUUUAGGGGAGCUCUUCUUUCCUUGAGCCUACAUUUUUUAUUCUUGACAUCAAUCUCCAACACCCAUUUGCUUCAACUACAGAGAAAAUCCCUCCAGAUUUUUUCUGGGUUUACUCUUCUUCUUUUUCUGUGAAUUUUUGUUUUUGGCUAAAGGGGUUUCAGAGCAAAGGGUUUUCUAUGGAUUCUCAAGUUCUUGUUGCUCUUGGUCUUUCAUUGUUGGGUGGAUUGAGUACCUCUCUAGGUGAGUAAAAAGUUCCUUUUUUUUAUUUCUUUGUUUGGAAUAGUUUAUUUUCUCUUUUGUAAAAUUGGAUUAAUUAUCAGAGCCUGAAAGUGCUCUAAUCUUAUGUUUUUCUUCUCCAAUUAUCACAUAGCUAGAGAAAAAUAAAACUUAUGUGACCUUGUUUGACCAGGGGAUGGAGGAGUUUAAGAAACAGAAUUGUUUUUGAAACUUGUGGUCUUAUUAAGCCAUAAAGAUUUAUCUGGCAAUGGAUAAGGUAUUUAAGAAGUUAAAUUAUUUGUAAAUAUAGAUAUGAGUCAAUUUCUUGGAUAAACUAAAAGGCUGAGUGUACCACAUAAAUUGAGACAGAUGAAGUAAGUUUUUUUGAGUAAUGGAAGUCAAAGUGUGGCCUUUUUCAUUUUUUGUGCUCAAUCCUGUGUCUUUUCUGUAAGCAUAGUGAAAACCAUAUUGCUAAAACUUCAAUAUUUAUAGUCCCACUUAGCUCAUAAAAACUGUAUAAUAUUAAUUGGAGACUGAUGGCGCUAUUACUUUAUGGUGGUUGUUUCCAUCUCCUUUGUGUGUUUUGAGUUUCUAGAGUGUUUGAAGCUACAAGGGUCCUCCCUAAAGAAAGUUUAGUAAUCUGAUCUAUUUUUUCUUAUCUGCAGGUGCACUUUUUGUGGUUAUUAGCCAGGCUCCUAACUUGAAGAUGCUAGGACUUUUACAGGUGAUGGUUAAUCGUAUUUGUAAGAAUGUCAGAAGUAAAAUGGUUAAUUCAAGUGAUUCAUGGUUUCUUUGUCACUUGCUUGUUUAAGCAUGUUGUCUGGUAAAUGUUUACUGUCGGUUAUUUUAUAUAUUUUCUGACUUGAGUAUUUUAAAUUUUGAGCUGAAGAAAAGGAUCAUUUGAUUUUUAACUACUGAUGGUUUAAGCUUCCUGAGCUUAAAAGAACUCAUUAUGGUCAGAUGUGGAAAUGCCAAGAGGUACAUAGAUAGCAGAGAACUGAACCUGAAUAAUUUCUUUGGUUGUGCAGGGGUUUGCUGCUGGUCUUAUGCUUAGCAUAUCAUUCUUUGACUUGGCUCAUAAUGCUAUAAACUCCAUUGGCUUCUUAAAAGGAAACCUCUGGGUGAGCUAUCUCCUAAUUUUAUUUUGAACUUUUUCAAUCUGUUUUCCACUUAAAGAAGAAACAUACAGUUCUUGGAUCUUAAUUGCGAAUCUCUGGACUGUCAGUUUUUUGCAGGUGUUAUCUUCUUUGCUCUUGUUUCAAAUUUCAUCCCGGAACCUACACUUGCACCCAUUUCAAGUGCCAAAGGCAAAAAGGUAUGGUGUGAUUUGUUUUUUAUAGGAGAAAAUCUCGUUUAUGCAAAAACUAUCAAAGAAUAAAAAUGGUUUUCUGCAUGAGAACAGAAAGACGGAGAUGAUAGGGGUAAGGAUAUUAUGAAGAAGCAUCGCCGCCAAGUUUUAUUUAGUGGAAUCAUCACAGCAGUAGGUUAGUCUGCUGUAUUGGUUUGUUGAUAAUUCCCAUAGAUUUUACAGCAUUUUUUGAUUCUGUUAUGCUGUAAACCCUCCAUUUGAGUUCUCAUUUGAAGAACUCUGAAUUGUUUGUGAACUAGAUCUGAUUAAGUGCUGAUAGUGGAAGCCUAUUUUUGACAUUUCUUGUUGUGUCAGAGUCUCUUUACAAAUAUGGUAUGCAAGAGCACAUACAUUCUUAAAAUAAAUCUAGCUGAUUCUUCAUUUUUAUGUCUCUGAAGUAGUUUGUGAACUAGGUCUGAUGAAGUGCAAAUUGUGGAAGCCCAUUUUUGACGUUUCUUGUUGUUUCAGAGUCACUAUACAAAUAUUUUAUGCCAGAGUACAUAUAUGCUUAAAAUAAAUCUUGCUUUAAUCUUCAUUUUUAUGUCUCUGAAGUAGUAGCACUCCCCACCUACAUGAGAAAUUUUAUUAGGAAGUUAACUUAGAUUUCUAAUAAGUAUAUUGCCCCCAAUUUAAGCAUAGUCUUGAACAAAAUAAUUAAGAGUGAUAUAGUGUGGCCUGUAUAAUUUACCUGGAGUUUUUUCAAAAUUCUUAUCUGGAGUCUUGUUCAGUUUCCACAGUGCUAAGUUAUGAGAAGAAUAUUACAAAUCUUACUAAAUUUGUUUUUUCUAUCUAGUUUGUCGUUAGAAUUAGUUGUUGGUAGGAGGUGCUAGGUAUCCAGUGGAAUUAGUCGAGGUGCGUGAAAGCUGGCCUAGACAUCAUGGUUAUAUGAAGAAAAAAGAAGAAUUUAAGUUUACCCUUCAGCUAAGGUUCUAGUAGGUGCUAGAUGCACAGUCUUGUGGUUAAAUAAUCCCUUUCUGUUCAUUCCUUAUUGUCUGUAGCGAAAGUCAAGUCUCUAUUUGGACUGUUGUGGUGUAACUUAUUUAUGCUGUAAUAUGUAAGGUCUUCCUAUAGUAAAAGUAGAUUUCCCUCAAUAGUUUGUAGAAAACCAUACUCCCUCCGUCCUGUUUUAUGUGAAGAAGUUUGGAAUAAGAGGGUCAAAGCCCCAAAUUUUCAUUUGAAUCUGGCAUAAAAUUUUCUUUUCUUCUGAAAUAAAAUUUACAUAUUCUGAUAACUGCAUGGAAAGUACUACAAGUCUGUUGAGUUAAUAAUUUAAAAUAUUUGAAAAAGUUUUAUAAACUUGUAUUAGUAAAAGAAAACUAUUUGACUCCCCAAUAGUAAUAGUGUCAUUUAUCUAUUGCACAGGGAGCCCCCUCCCCCGCGUACCUCUUUUCUUUUUCUUUUCUCUUAAAAGGAACACCCCACGUUUUGUUACAGAAUGAAUGCUCAUUUACCUACAAAUUCUCUCCCAUCUAAUUCAAGGGACCACAUUUCUAAGUAUGAGAUAUUCCUAAAUUUUCAAGACUACUUUAGCAAAUAAGAAUUCUAUAGUACUUGCACAUAUUUCUAGCAAUCAAAAUUCAUUUAUCAAGUUAUUGAGCUACUUGUACUGAUAUACUAUACAAGUCAAAUUGACUUCUUAAUCUCCAUUUCUUCUUAAAUUACACUUAAUAUAAUUAGAUGAAAGGACUGGCAAUAUGGAAAUAGAAGAGAAUAAUAUAUGCAUUUGAACCAUAACUUCAUUCAUUAUAGGAUGUCUUACAUGGUUUGUAUUGGCUUUUCUGUCCAGGUAUAAGCUUGCACAACUUUCCUGAAGGGAUGGCUGUGUUCCUUGGAUCAAUGAAGGUAGUUCUCCUUUCUUGAUUGUCUGAUGUUUAUAAUCUUGUAUAGUGAUCACCUUAGUCAUUGUUGCUUGACCUAUGAUAUUUUGUUUCAUUCUAUUUUAAGAACCGUAAGGGUAACAAUGUUUCAAUUAAUAAAUGGCACCUCAAAUCCAAAAAUGGUUGGAGUCGGCUGUAUGUAUCAUCUAUAUCUAUACCAGGUACCCUAUGGGAUAGUCGAGAUGUUGGUAAGUUGGUCCGCUCACCCGUGGGGUCUGGGAAGGGAGAUGUACACAAACCUUACCCUACCUUUGUGGGGUAGAUAGGUUGUUUUUUGAUAGACCCUCAACUCAAAAGAGAAGUUAUUCAAAGCAGAGUUGCAAGACAAAUAUGACAACAAAAUAUCAAGAUACAAAGCAAAUGCAACAACAUAUAAUAGAAAACAUUGAAGAAUAAGAAACUAUGCAAUUAUUAAAUACUACUACUAAUAAGGUGAAGAGGAGAUGGGGCUAGCCCCUUGUGUCUCCCACCUAAAGUGUGACAAUACUCGGCUUCCUCCAAGUCUUCUACCCUAAUCCUUAACAUCCAUACCUUCAUAUCUAAGGUCAUGUCUUUAGUAAGCUGAAGUUGUGCCAUGUCUUGUGUAAUCACCUUCUCCAAUUCUUUUUCGACCUACCUCUACUCUCAUAACACCUCUUCUAACUCCCACUAUAACCAACCUCUAACAUCUCCUUACUGGCACAUCCACAUACCCUUUCUUCACAUGCCCAAACCAUCUCUAUUCACUUCCCUCAUCUUGUCUUCCACAGAGGUCAAGCCCACCUUGUACUGUCUAACUUCGUUUCUAAUCAUAUCUCUCUUAGUACGCCCACACAUCCAUCUGUGCAUCUUUAUCUCCACUACAUUCAUCUUUUGAAUGUGGGCGUUCUUGACUAACCAACACUUUGUCCCAUAUAACAAAGUUGAUUUGAUCACCGCCCUGUAGAACUUACCCUUGACAACACACUCUUAUCGUGUAGUACCUUGGAUGCAAACCUUAAUCUCGACCACCUCGCACCAAUACAAUGUGUGACAUCAUCAUCGAUCUCCUCAUCUCCUUGGAUCAUGGACCCCAAGAUGCUUGAAGCUUCCUCUCUUACGUAUGACUUGUGCAUUGAUCUUCACUUUCACCUUGUCCUCACACAUUACAUAUCUAAACUUGCACUCCAAUUACGGUGUUUUUGUCCGGCUUUACCUGAAACCUUUAGACUUUACGGUCUAUCUCCGAAGUUCCAACCUAUCAUUAAUUCCACCUCACAUCUCAUCAAUAAAUACUAUGUCAUCUGCGAACUCCACAACACCUCCCUUUGAAUAUGCUGUGUCAAUUUGUCCAUCAAUAAGGCAAAUAGGAACAGGCUGAGAGAUGGUUUUAGGUACAACCCAUCAUGACCGAAAAGUGUUUCGAGUCACCUCCCAUUGUUCUAGCCCAGGUCUUGAUUCCACCGUACAUGUCCUUAAUUGCUCUAAUUUAAGUCUGAGGUACACCUCUAGCCUUUAAACAUAUUUAUAGGAUCUCCAUAGGCACUUUAUCGUGCACCUUUUCUGGGUCGAUGAAUAUUAUGCCUAAGUUCCUCUUCAUGUCUCUAUACUGCUCUUAACAAUCUCCUUGUAAGAUGGAUGACUUUUGUAGUUCAUUGUCUCAACAUGAAGCCGAGUUGGUUUUAGAUAUAGAUACACCCUCCUCAUCCUCAUUUCGACCACCUUCUCCCGAACUUUCAUAGUAUUGCUUAGUAGCUUCAUACCCCUAUAGCUGUUGCAAUGUUGAAUAUCACCCUUUUUCUUAUAUGUAUUAUUGUACUUCACCUCCAUUCUUCUGGCAUUUUAGCUGUCCUAAAAAUGACAUCAAACAACCCAGUCAACCACUCCAUACCUGCUUCAUCUGUGGUCUUCCAAAAUUUCAUUGGUAUCUCGUCUAGCCUGGUUGCUCUUUCGCUCAUACGAAUAGGCCCCUUAACCUCCACAACCUUUAUGCACCUACAACACCCAAAAUUUCUACGACUCUCGGAAUGCUUUAACUCCCCCAACACGAUAUCCCUGUCCCUUUCUUCAUUCAAGAGCUUAUGCAAAUAUGUCUGCCAUCUCCGUCUAAUGUGUGCCUCUUAUACCAACAAUUCACCAUUUUUUUGUGGGGGUAAUACUUCGUCAUUCUCAUCCUUGAUAUACUUCAUAUGAUCCAGGUCACAAGCUUAUACAAUUUCCUACACCCUUCCUUCCCCUCGAGCUCUUUAUUCAAAUACUCAAAAGCUGUCCUUUUAGCAGCCAUGACCGCUUCCUUAUUCACCACCUUAUACCUCUUUCUAUUCUUCCUCUUAUCCUCCUUAUCUAAGCUUUCCACUAAAGCCGUGAAUCUAUUUAGGCCUAUGCCAUUCUCUACUGGUAAUUUGUCUUUUAAGGAAAAUUGGGUAUUCUCCAACAAUUGAAACUCUAAAUCUCAGACUUACACCUACUACAUAAACAUACAAGUUCUAAUCAGAAUAAAGCCCUUGUGGAAUUAAUGGAUUAAAUGUAAGUGUAAUAACAACAACUAGGCCUUAACUUGAACUAGUUGGUAUUGUCUAUAUAGAUUCUUUACUUCCAAUUGUUGUAUUCUUUGCUAAGUUCACAUUUGAAGGGGUUAUUGGUCUUUUAAGACUUCCUCAGUCCCUUUCAUCAAUGUGAUUUUGGCUUGCCUCGGUCCCUUUCAUCAAUGUGAUUUUGGCUUGCCUCGGUUCCUUUCAUCAAUGUGAUUUUUGGCUUGCCUCGGUCCCUUUCAUCACGUUUAGUCAUCAUUGUUGGUGAGUAUGGAGGUUACAUAGGGUAUGGUAUCGCAAGGCAUCUGAGGUGACCUUUUUUUUAUCCUCCAUCUUAACAUCAACAUUUCUAUGACACUCAGGUUUUUGAUAUAUAGGACUAAUAAUCACUCUCAUAUGACAUUGCUGGUCUUCAUUACUGUGUUAUAAGACCUGCCUUUUACUUGUUAGGUAACAGUGGUUGAAGAUUAAAAGAAAAUUAGCAAAUAAGCUUUAGAAAACAUAUGUUUAAGUAAUCUUAAAUAUCUUAAUCAAAUUAAGAGCAAGAACCAACUGUUGUGAUAACAGAAAACAUUCUUUAACAUAUUUUAUGGGGCCAUAGAUUAGGGAUAAUUUUGACAUUUACAUUACAUAUCACUUGUUUAGUCAUGGUUGCUCAACUUGCACAAUAUUGGUUUUAUUCAGUUUGGAGUAGUGUCAGGAUUAAAAUUUAGAUACAUACACUUAGAGCCUGUUUUGAUGGGCUUAUUAGUUUUUUCUUAUAAACAAAAAACCUAAUUUAGGAAUUCUAACUUAUGGCUUUUGGCUUAUUUUUGUCUUUUUGGCUUGAAAACAAGUGCUUAAAAGUAUUCCUUCUCAAAAAAACAAGUGCUUACAAAUACUUAUUAUUUUACCCAAACACUACAAAGUGCUUAAAUGCUAUUUUGGCUUAAAUGCACUUAAAAUAAGUAUCCAAACAGGCUCUAUGUAAUGUGAAAUAUUAAUAAAAUGCUUAACAUUGUACCAUUUUAUUGUGCAUAAAGUAGACAUUUCUUGGAUAUAAAUUGCACGGAACAACCUUCAUAGAAAAAGGAAAUACAUGAGGACAACGUGGUCUACAGACCCAAUAUUUGUGGUCAUAAUCUGCUUCGACAUCAUUCUUGUUACAUCGGAGAGGGAUGACUUCCCGGAUCAACUUCCAACUGUUCCUUUAUCAUUUCUGUGGUCAGUCUACUGUACCAAAUGCACUGAACUACAGGGCAGGGAAUUGCACAAUCCCAUACUUCUCUUGCGUAUCUACAUCGUAAAUUUUCAAAUAACCUUAGGUGCCAUUUGUUGUUCGGAAAGAAAAAUGGAAGUGCCAGAAUUAACUUUUGAGUUUGGCUUCAAGCAAGCUGAACUAGUGCUGCUACUGAUACAUGUUAGUUGUAGAAAGAGUAUGUUAAUAACUUUGUUUUGUUUGAUGAGAAGACAUUUUGAAGUCUUUUCUUGGAAAAGUCAAGAUCCUCAGUUGUAACAACUUCAUUAAGUCCAAAACAAUUUAAGGUCGGUCAUAUGAAUCUUCACUGACCAUGUGAUUCCAUAAGCUCAUCUCAUGCCAAUAUUAUGCAAAUACAUAUUCAAUGUAUUAGAAGUUUUCUAUAUUUUCUAAAAUGCAUAAAUCUCUGAAAGGCUAAACCACUCUUAGAAAGCAUAGUUUCUCGUCAAAGUGCUAGCAUCCCUAAAAUUACUCUUAACGAAUAUGUAUUGCCUAUGUAAAUCUUUCUUCUAUUGUGCUAUAUCUUUUGCUUAGCUUACAUGGACCUCAGAUAUUCUAGGUCCUUCGAGACAAUUUUUUUCCAUGUGAUUUUAGGUCUAACUCGUUCUCUUUUAAUACCUUCACUUACCAUGGUUUCACAACUUGUAUUUGGAGGUCAAUGCAGGACAUGCCAAAUCAUAUCAACCGACAUUCUUUCAUUGUAUCCUCGAUGUGUGCUACUUGAACCUUCUUGCGAAUGUGAUCAGUUUUAGUCCUGCCUAAUUUUGUAUGACCACACAUCUAUCUUAGCAUCGGCAUAUAUCCAAAAUUCAUCUUGUGGAUGUGUUAAACUUUAGUGGUCCAACAUUCAGUCACACAGCAUUUGCUGGUCUAAUAACUGUUCUAUAGAACUUACAUUUUCACUUUAAUAAACAUCCUUCUAUCACUUAACACCACCCUUGCAACACUUCUAUAUUUUUAACUAUCCGAUUUUGAUUCUAUGUGCAACAUCCUCAUUUAUCAUUUCAUUCUCCUGGAACAACAAGCCUAAAUAUCAAUUGUUUGCAUUUAGGUACUGCAAUCCCAUGUAGUUUCACCUCAAUUCACUCUUCUUAUGGUGACUAAACUUGCAGGCAACUGAUCUUCAGUUAUAAACUUGGAAUUAUUUAGAGCUUACUCUGUUUUCAUCAUGCUUUUAUUUUAGGGACUUCGGGUUGGUCUAAACUUGGCUCUUGCUAUUGCUUUACACAACAUACCAGAGGUAUACUUUCUUACAAAUUUACCAGUUUAUUUCCUGAUUUCUGUAUGUUUCUUGAGUGCAAGGAUACACUAAUGGACUCCUUAUUACAGCUGUAAUAUAAGAUAUCUUAUCCUAUCACAAUGUGUCUGUGUAUGUACUUGAUUGCUGUAGUAUUCUUGGUUUCAUUCAUUUUUGGCUCUAUGAACAUGUUAUUUGAAUUUUCGCUGCUGAGCAGAUUGUUGAUCAUGUAUGUAAAUAAUAAAUCAAUGUGCUUAUCAGUUCAAUUAAGAGCUACGUGUGGCCUAUAUUUAAAGAUAAAGCCUGUACAUUGUUUGGGCACUUUUCAUUCUUUCAUACAUUUCCAUAUUAUACCAAAUCCCUAGCUGAGUUGGGUUGAGAUCGUUGAUUGAUUGACGAUGCCAAGGAAGGCAUCUACUGUAAAAACAGUGGAUAGUCUUGCCAAAACAGGUAAAUUAACAAUCAACAUGUUUAUUGGGAUCAAACUAAAAGGAACUAAGGGAUGUGUCUUUUUUGUUCCUUUUCCAUUUGGGGACCUGAUUUAUUUGGUUGCAGGGUGUUGCAGUUGCACUUCCAGUUUAUUUUGCAACACAGAGGUAAUGAUUCGUAGUAAACUAACUUAGUAUUAAUUAAGGAUAACAUCUUUUGCUUGUGCCAAUCUGGGUUUAUUUUAUUAGGUUAAUUUUCUAAUUAUUUAAUAGACUCGAUGCACGUAAACAUCUUAUCUUCAAUUUAGUCAGGUCAUAUGAAUGUAGUUUCUCGACAAAGUCAUGUUAUCUGUACAUCUUAUGCUUGAGGCCUUAAGGCUAUUUGAGUCAUAAAGACUACGCUAUUUAAAUUAUAAAAUGCAUCCAGCGAUUUAAAUCGCAAGACUUACAUGCACAUAACUGAAGUUGCUGGAAGCUUUGGAAUAUAAGAAAUUAAAACGCAGAUAGUAAGAAAGAUCAAUGAAAUCAAAUCCUUUUCCUUCUUCCCUCCAACAAAAGGUAACAACAAGGUGCUCUCAUCACUUUGUAGAAAUAAAAUUCUUUCUUCUGCCCAGAACAAUUUAUCAUGGCUCUGUCAAUGGCAUUGCAAGGAUAAAGUUCUAGUGCAACGACUAAAGAACACUUCAAUCAUAAUUAGUUUCACCAAAGCUCAUCUUGUUGUAUGCACUAUCCCCAUUUUUUUCUUAGAUAGUUGAGAUUUAUAUAGUGAGUCUAUAUGUGUCUCAGCAAAUGGCAGGCAUUCAAAUUGGCAACACUUUCUGGUCUCGCAGAGCCCCUGGGUGUAAUUAUUGUGGGUGAGUACCUGAUAUUCAUGCCUUUUUCUUUUAGAAGGAUAAGAAUUACCUGAUAUCCAUGUCUUUUAGUUCAAGUAGAACACAAAGUGUACAUGAAGCAGAGAAUAGGUUCAGAAUUCAUUUUUUAAUUUAAACAUGAUUUGAUUGCAGCAUAUCUAUUUCCAAGCAGCUUGAAUCCUGAAAUUCUGGAGGGCCUCCUGGGAGCAGGUUGAUAUGAUAUUUAUUUACUUCUAGUUUCUUGACUGAUGAGAAAGGAGAAACAUUUACUUUUGAAUUAUGCUAUCCUCUAAUGGAUCAUGUUGCUUUCAGUGGGAGGGGUGAUGGCAUUUUUAACCUUACAUGAGAUGCUUCCAUUGGCAUUCGACUAUGCCGGUCAGAAGCGAGCUGUCAAAGCUGUAUUCCUUGGAAUGGCUUUCAUGUCUGCGAGGUGAGAUAACUUCUGUAAACUUCAACGUCACUCCUGGUAGUUACCAAACACAGCUAACUAUUGUACUUCGACUUGAAAGGUCCCGAGCUUCAAUGAGUUAACACUACAUGCACUCAGCGGCAACUUGAUUUAUUUUUUUGUUUCCAUGCUUUUGAUCUAGUGGAACCUCCUUUGCUUGAUCCAAUUUUUUUAACAUUACUAUAUAAAAUGGAAGUAUAUUAACUUUUAGAUGCCUAAUGGUUGAAGUAAAAUAUAACAGAGGAUUCUGUUAUUCAGUUAAUGCUAGUACUUAAGGAACUCAGCAAUACCAGCAUACUUAGCUGAUUGUUCUUUCAUUUACCAAUAUAAAUAAUUACCAAGCAAUCUGCUAUAAUUACAUGCUGUAAAGGAUUCUUUCUUUCUAAAUUUGUUUGUCUUGGGCAUGGCACCUACCUCAUCAAAGCUGCUUGCUGAAUAUCGAUUUUGUUAUCUUCUUAUACUUUCUCGUUUCUUUUUCUUUUUUACUUUUGCUGUAGUUUUACCUUCUCUCCUAUUGCAGCCUAUAUUUCCUAGAGCGGAGCUUGCCAGCGGACAUGAGCUUGUAGUUCUCAGUCAUAUGGUGUUUCACUACUUGUACUGCUGAACUUCGAUGGAGUUUUUUCGUGGUGCUAAGCUUCAAAACUAAAAUUCGCAUUCUUACAAAAUCCAUGAGGCAUGGCAUUUGGUUUGGCAAGCUGAAUGAGAGUGAAGGUAUAACAGUUUCUGAGAUUGUUUUAUAGUAAAAUAGGAAAUGCACAGAGACUCAGCCAGUAUCUCAUAUAUGAACAAGAGAUACAUGGGCAAAACAUUGUGUGGAUUAAUUUACGAAUGGUCAUCCAACUUUCAAUUCGUUGUAACAAUGUCACAAAACUAACCUUUGUAAUGAAAUAAAUAAACUCAAAAAGUAUUAACUGAAUGCUGGAAAACGUAAAUUCAGUUUGGAAACACAACUAGUCUGCCAUUUUAGCAGCUAACUUUAACUAUACUCAUGUGGCAACAAAAACAGCAUACGCGGUGAAAUCCCACUAAGUGGAGUAUAGGGAGGUAGAAGGACUGUUUUCCAAAUAUCUCAGCUUUAAGCGAAGCAAAUCAAAGUAGUAAUGCAGGGAAAAAAACAGCAGUGAAAGAAAAACAUGACAACUAAUAUAAAAUCAGUGCAUAUAUAUAUAUAUAUAUAUAUAUAUAUAUAUAUAUAUAUAUAUAUAUAUAUAUAUAUAUAUAUAUAUAUAUAUAUAUAUAUAUAUAUAUAUAUAUAUAUAUAUAUAUAUAUAUAUAUAUAUAUAUAUAUAUAUAUAUAUAUAUAUAUAUAUAUAUAUAUAUAUAUAUAUAUAUAUAUAUUGAUUUACUAUCAGUUAAGUGAAAUUAGUUUGGGGGGUAUAUAGUGUAAUUAUUUAGUGGGAUAUCAAUAUAAAGAGAUAUAUAUUUAUAAUUAUUUUGCUUUUAUGAGAUAUUAGUUUAGUACCCCGUAACUAAACCAUUACUGCCUUACGUAAUUACACCCUAUAAUAAUUAAUAACUACACCCUAUAAUAAUGAGUUUUCCAAAUUUUUCUCUUGUAAAAAUGUCAUUCGGCUAAUGAUGUUAAGCAAAAUGUACCGUGACUUGGUAAAGUAAAAUGAAAUUGAAUUAGUUGAAAUAAAAACAUCACUAUAUAAAUUCUCUAUUAUUAUAAUUUAUUAUAUGCGAGAAGUCCGACAGUUAAAACACCAUAAUAACCCUACAAAGUGAAGUGAUCAUGAUGAUUAGGGGUGUUCACGGUUUGGAUAAAAACCGAUCCAAACCGAAAAACCAAACCAAAUCGAUAAAAUAAAACCGAUUUUAUUUGGGUUUGAUUUGGUUUGGUUUUAGAUUUUUGAAAACCGAUAGUAUUUGGUUUGAUUAUGGUUUUAUUUGAAAAAAAUCGAAGAAAUAACCGAACCGAAUCGAUGAAUUAUUUACAUAUAUUUUAUUAAUAUACAUACUUAAUAUAUUGUUUUUAUAAACAAUUUUAAAGAUCUUAUACAUAUUUUCAUUAAAAUUUCUUUAUAAUUUACUUAUUGUCCCAAGAUGAAACAUUUAUCUUAUUAAUUUCAUGUAUAUGAGUGUCUAUGACAAUUCUUUGUGGGACUGAAAAUGUUAUUUUCUCUUCCUUCUAGACCAAUAUAGUGAAUUUUAAAGCUUUAUUGAUAGUAAAUUUAGUGAUCGAAAGUUUAGUAAUUUAAGUCAUUCUAACUAUUUUUCGUUUUGAAUGGAUUGUUGUCACUUUUUUCACAUUUUAAAUGAAUUGUUUCUUUUAUUUUUGUGUAUGGUUAAUAACCAAAUAACCGAACCAAACCAAAUCGAAACCGAUAAUCACCAAACCGAUAAAUGUAUAUUAUAUUUGGUUUGGUUUGGUUUUGAUAAUUUUAAAACCGAUUAAGUUGGUUUGGUUUUGGUUUUGACCAAUAACCGAUCCAAACCAACCCAUGAACACCCCUAAUGAUGAUACCUUUAACCUAAUAUUACUUAAUACAUUUUUGUACGGUGAUGUAAAUUUAUAUUCUAACAAAAAAGAAGUUUUAAUUAGGAAAAAAGACAAUGUAGCACUUUUCUGCCAUUAAAAAUUAACGGCAUAUUUAAUGUUAAUAUAGUUAAUUGUAAAUAAAUCUUUUAUUUACUACUCCCUCCAUUCCAUAUUAAGUUAAUUUUUGAGGUGUUUCACACCCUUUAAGAAAAGUAGAUUAAGACAUAAAUUGAACCUAGUUUUUAAUUUUUACCCUUAUUAAUUAUUGUCAAAUUUAUGAUUAAAAUAACUAAAUAUUAAUUAAUCACUAAUUCCCAUACUAACUAAUGAAGGGUAAAAUUGAAAGAACACUCUAAAAGUAGUCUUGAAAAAUGAACAAUUAAGUUAAUUUGAAAAAUGAAAAAUACCUCAAAAAUUAACUUAAUAUGGAAUGGAGGGAGUAGUAGUUUACAACGCAAGUCUUUUCAUCACUUAUUUUGAUAGUUAUUUUUUUAGUAGUUACUCAUUUAACUUCCAUCGAUAUAGUCUUUUGACAUUUUUUGCACAAAUUUAAAUCACUUCUUUAUUUACUGAUUAAAUUGAAUUUCUUCUUAAUUCCCUUUUAAAAAAAAUAUCACGGGUUGGUGUAGUUGCUCUUCAAGCAUGCGUUGCUGGUGAGGAAUGAUUCUUCUGCCUUUUGUUUUCAUAUCAUAUAUUUGAGUCUUCUUUUAAUUUUUCAUUUUGAAUUAUGUAUUAUCAAUAAUUUGAUAAUCUAGAAAUUAAGUAAGCUAAUAUGAUGAUUGAUGGUAUUAAAAAAAGGAAAAAAUAUUCAAAUAUACAUCUUAUUCUACCAUAAUCUCCAAAAUUCCCUACCAUUUAAAUUUUUUUCAAAAAUCCCCUCUCGGAUACAUCACUUCUCUCUCGCU
rnacentral:lncRNA from 1 species